UACAGAGGUCUCAAGCGUUGUUCGGAUUCAUUGGGCGUAAAGGGUGUGUAGGUGGCGCGCUAAGUCGGGGUGUGAAAUUUCGGAGCUUAACUCCGAAACUGCAUUCGAUACUGCCGUGCUUGAGGACUGGAGAGGAGACUGGGAAUUUACGGUGUAGCGGUGAAAUGCGUAGAUAUCGUAAGGGAAGACCAGUGGCGAAGGC
rnacentral:rRNA from 1 species